UCUUUCUCUUUGCCCCUCUUCCCCUCAAAUAAAUAAAUACUUAAAAAUAAAACAAAAUAAAAUAAAAUAUUUUCUACAUGCAGAUGAAGACCAAAGUCACAUCUUAAGCUCCAAUCUCUCUCCAGGCUCCAGAGACAUUCAUCCACUUGCCUGUUGAACUUCUCUACCAGGAUGAUCUCUGGAGUCAGGCUGCUGAGGAGUCAUCCAUCUAUGGAUUUUUUCCAACUCCCCUACACAGUGUCUUUGAAAUGUCCCUUCUUAUUGACCAAGUGUGGCAUUUCUGCCUCUGGCGUCUGACAGUGCGGGGCAUGCCCUGCUUCGUUUCUUGGAAAGUGUAAAAUACAGUUAAUUGUUCAAACUCAUAAAUAAAUGCUUUUACAGUGA